rnacentral:lncRNA from 1 species
AAUCACCUCCCCUUGAGUGUAGAGAAGACCUGUGACUACCUUUUGACCUCAGCAAAACAUGGCAUAGGCGAUGGGACAUUACUCCCAUGUUUACAUCCUGUCAUAUGGCAAAGAUGAACAGAUUGUUGCAGAUAUAUUAAGGCCCGUAAACAUUUGACAUUAAGUUCAUCAGAAGGGAGAUUAUCCAGAGUGGGAGAUCAUUCAAAGAAAAAGGCAUUCUUCUGCUGACCUUGAAGACUCAGUCACCAUGAGUUCCAUAGCUACAGGGAGAUGCUGCUGCCAAGAAUGGUGUGAAUAACACCAAGAAAAAUGACGUGAAUAAUGCCAAGAAUAACACCCAGCAGAUUCUUACUGGGUCCUAGGCAAUAAUUAAAUCUCUUCAUACCUCCUCUUUUCAAAGUCUGCUUCAAGAAACCUUAUAACCACCUGCAGUUUUGUAUUUUCAAAAAGAAAUUUCCAGGAGUCUCAGAUUAUAUAACUUAUUGCAAUCGGUUCAUAUUUUUUCUUAGAAUAAGACCUCAAGCCUCAGAUCCGAUCCUAACCUUGGUCAACACCUCCAUGCUGCCUUGCGAGACCUCAAGCAGUGGACCUAGUUAUGCCUAGGCUCCUUAGCCCACGAAACUGUGAGAUAAUAAAUGCAUGUUGUCUUAAUACAUGCAGCUUGGGGUGAUUUGUAAUGCAGCAAUAGAAAACAGAGUAUUUUAUCAGGGUGACUGCAGGUAAAUAUAUAGCUUUCUGUGCAUCUGAAUAAAGGGGAAAAAUAAUAGUACCUAAGAUGUGAUAAGGAUUAAAUGACUUAGCAUACAAAGUGCUUAGAACAGUUCCCAGCACACAGUCAAUAUCAUAUCAGUGUCUGCUCUUAUUAGAAUCUUGAUUUUGCA